rnacentral:rRNA from 1 species
AUGCCGCCGCUGGCGAGGGCGUCACAGCGAAUCCGAUAUUCCAAGAAACAAAGGGCACCGCCGCCGCCGCCGCCGCCGCCGGAGAGAGACUGGGCGGAGCUGCACCCGGACCUCAUCUCAUGCAUCCUCCACCGGCUGGACCAGGCCGAGCUCCUGGUCGGCGGCGUGGCGGGCGUGUGCCGCUCCUGGCGCCGCGCCGCCCGGGAGGAGCCGGAGCUGUGGCGCCACAUCAACCUGCGCGAAGGCAUGUGGUACGUCCCCACGUUCUGCCCCGAGUUCAGCGUUAACGCCAUUGUGGGGAAAGCCCUGCGGCUCGGCGCGGGGCAGACAGAGGCCUUCCUGAGCGAGGGCAUCGACGACCACACGCUCCUGCUACUCGCCCAGCGGGUAGCAUCUAUGGUCGCAAGGAUGCACAAGCUACGCUCCUUGCAUCUUGUCCGCCUUAUGCUCGACAAUGAAGAGCUGGCAACCAUCCUUGAUAAGUGCCACGACCUAGAGUACCUUAACAUGCAAGAGUGCAGCCUUGUUGACAUGGAUAACAUGGAUGACAACCUACGAGUGAAGCUUGCCCAGAUCAAUAUGGAUAACCCUGAGUACUCCAGUGACCAACAGGUUGACUAUGAGUACAAGAUCCUUCCUAUUUAUGACUACCGUGAACUUAGAGAUGAUUGGCAUUCCUACUAUCCGGAUUACAACGAUUCCUAUGAGGAAUAUUGCUACUACAUUGGUAGUGGUGAUGGUAUCGCCGAUGCCGAUCUCGAAGAGUAUGAGAAGAUACUUGACAUCAAGAGCAUGCGUAGGUACCUAAGCUAA